AUGUGACACCGGGCCCCUCUGGCGGUGAAUGCUCACCGUGAUGUCGGCGUCACCA
rfam:Pseudomonas taeanensis MS-3 contig_04, whole genome shotgun sequence.